rnacentral:rRNA from 1 species
AGUGAACGCUGGCGGUAGGCCUAACACAUGCAAGUCGAACGGCAGCACAGUAAGAGCUUGCUCUUACGGGUGGCGAGUGGCGUACGGGUGAGGAAUACAUCGGAAUCUACUUUUUCGUGGGGGAUAACGUAGGGAAACUUACGCUAAUACCGCAUACGACCUACGGGUGAAAGCAGUGGAUCUUCGGACCUUGCGCGAUUGAAUGAGCCGAUGUCGGAUUAGCUAGUUGGCGGGGUAAAGGCCCACCAAGGCGACGAUCCGUAGCUGGUCUGAGAGGAUGAUCAGCCACACUGGAACGGAGACACGGUCCAGACUCCUACGGGAGGCAGCAGUGGGGAAUAUUGGACAAUGGGCGCAAGCCUGAUCCAGCCAUACCGCGUGGGUGAAGAAGGCCUUCGGGUUGUAAAGCCCUUUUGUUGGGAAAGAAAAGCAGCAGGUUAAUACCCCGCUGUUCUGACGGUACCCAAAGAAUAAGCACCGGCUAACUUCGUG